AAGGAUCAUUAACACGUUCCAAACGUUUAACAAACCCCUCUGUGAACUAAAAGUCCGGCGCAAGUCGGCCCUUUUAACCAAAAAUCCUGGCUGGUGUGGCAACACAACAUCUAGGUCGCUGAAAGACUUUGCGAAAGCGAGUCCCUCUGCGUGCUGGCUUCAGGGUCACACCUUAAGCUGGCGCUGGUCUCUCGGGACCAAGCGCAGACAGCGUCAAACCCAACCAAACCCUUGAACCUAACUAUCUGAAACCUCUAACCAUGACACGCAAGUGCUCUGGUUAACAAAAACAAAAAACAACUCUUAACAACGGAUAUCUUGGUUCUC
rnacentral:misc_RNA from 1 species